CAGAAAGUAGUUUAAUAAAAAUUUUAAUUUUGGAGAUUAGAGAUAAAAGAAUACUUUUUUUUCUGA
rnacentral:tRNA from 1 species